rnacentral:rRNA from 1 species
AUUGAACGCCGGCGGAAUGCUUUACACAUGCAAGUCGAACGGCAGCAUAGGUGCCUGCACCUGAUGGCGAGUGGCGAACGGGUGAGUAAUACAUCGGAACGUGCCCAGUCGUGGGGGAUAACGUAGCGAAAGUUACGCUAAUACCGCAUACGAUCUAAGGAUGAAAGCGGGGGACCGUAAGGCCUCGCGCGAUUGGAGCGGCCGAUGUCAGAUUAGGUAGUUGGUGAGGUAAAGGCUCACCAAGCCGACGAUCUGAAGCUGGUCUGAGAGGACGACCAGCCACACUGGGACUGAGACACGGCCCAGACUCCUACGGGAGGCAGCAGUGGGGAAUUUUGGACAAUGGACGCAAGUCUGAUCCAGCCAUUCCGCGUGCAGGACGAAGGCCUUCGGGUUGUAAACUGCUUUUGUACGGAACGAAAAAGCUCUUACUAAUACUAGGAGUCCAUGACGGUACCGUAAGAAUAAGCACCGGCUAACUACGUGCCAGCCGCCGCAGUAA